UCACUUUUUCGAGCCAAAAACUCCAACCCCGGAAACCAAAAAAGUUAAUCUCAGCCCAAACAAGUAAUUUAAUUCACUAUUGUUUUUUGUAUAUUUGUAGUUCCGGAAAAUACUCAAAAUGAACUAAAUAAAAUCAAGCAAAAAAUAGACGAACUUAUAACAAAAUUGGAUGAGCAGGCAAAAUCUAUUGCAGCCUUAAUAAGCAGCCAGGCACAGAACAAUUUGCUGAUGAAGCAAGUUCCCAGUUUGCGACGUAAUGCAACUCACGGAAAUUGAAGAUGAUGUUUCCAAAAAUAAAGAUAUAUACGUGUCUAUUAUAAAAAACAUUAUUGGAUCAAUUGGAGUUACAAACGGAAUGAAAAAAAUUCUCAGCGAUAGCGUCAUGGUGCAGUUAAAUUAUGAUGGACUGCAAGACAAGGUGGCAUUCAAGAAGUUUGAGUGCCUAAAUAAUGCCAUAUAUGAAGCAAUGCAAGUGGAAGGUUUCACUAAAGGCGAUUAUGAGCGGGAGCUCAAAAGAGCUUUCAAGAUGGGUAAAAACCGAUAUCACAAAGCGGGCUCUUUGAAAAAACAAAAAGAUAAACAAAUAUAAUAAAUUAAAGUAUGAAAACAAUUAAUUUAAGUAACAUUGACAUUAUUUUUAAAUGUAAAAUCUUAAUUAUAGUAAUUUGUACUGAAAUGGAUUUCUUUAUUAUUUCUAAUUGAAUUAAAAAAUAUAAAACUAUAAGAUAUUUA